rnacentral:lncRNA from 1 species
GACCAGCGAGAUCCUCCACCGCGACGAGAUGGGUACAAAGCGACAUACUGUGGAGAUUUACAACAGAGCAGUCCUUGCAAGGGGAGCUCCCAACCAGUAACAUCCGUCCUUGGAAUUGUGCGUGAUUUUUCGUGGGAUGCGGUGACGAAUUUGAAUAACGUGGGACGGUGCGUUCGUCUUCAAUUUGCUUUUGCUUUGCGAGCCGUAACGACAGAAUCGCCUCGAAAGUAGUGGCAAGAAAUAGCGAGGUGGCAUGUUCCUUGACAAACCGUGGAGAUGGAGACGCGUAAGUAGUGCCUGACGUGGGACAGUGUUCCUGCACAGGCCAGCUCAGUCGUGGUGUGAGCAUCCAUCCCUGUAGAGUUUCGAGGGUGAAAACAGAUAAAAGAAAAAGGGGCUGACAGAUAACCAGGGAUCGUGAGGGAACCGCAACACACAAAUGACGUGAGACGGCAACCAGCAGUUGCAUAAUUGCCUCAGAACGUGAAAGCGCAUUCGUCCUCCAUGAAUGUGCCACUACGGCAAAGCACAAAGUCCAUCCCCUGUAAGUGGUAGAAGAGGCCAAAGCGAAGGCGAGACUUGUGGCUGCCUCAUAGUACAGUUACGUGAGGCAUAUCGGACUUCACAAAGAGACUGUGGAAGAGCGUUAGGAGUUGGCAAUGCCAUGCGUCAGAUCCAUUUGUGGAGUUGGUAGUAUGUUGGGCAUCGCUCAGAGUGUCUGCGCCGCCGUGUUUUUGUUAUUCGCAUCCUGGCGGGGCCGUUUCCAUGUCUAGCUGCGAAGUCUAAAACCGUGCUACUGAUUAUGAAUUUCGAUGGCAUUCAAAGUGCUAUUUCUUUUAGCCGUAUCUUCUAGCUGCUAUAUCCUCCAAUAGGCCAAUGGCUGCGACGGCCGUCGUGAAGCGUCAACUUCGUGUUUGUGAUCCGCCAAGUGACUAGCGCAAUUUGUGUUGCCCCCCAAUGGCGUAACUGUCAACGUGGUGGUGAGCCUCGUUGCACAAACAGCGUCGAUAGACUGCGCCGACGAAAACUACCCGAAUACAAUGCUGGUACGGACGCAG